rnacentral:rRNA from 1 species
UGGGGAAUAUUGGACAAUGGAGGAAACUCUGAUCCAGCAAUUCUGUGUGUGUGAAGAAGGUUUUAGGACUGUAAAACACUUUUAGUAGGGAAGAAAAAAAUGACGGUACCUACAGAAGAAGCAACGGCUAAAUACGUGCCAGCAGCCGCGGUAUUACGUAUGGGGCGAGCGUUGUCCGGAAUUAUUGGGCGUAAAGGGUACGUAGGCGGUCUAUUAAGUCAGGUGUGAAAGCGUGAGGCUUAACCUCAUUAAGCACUUGAAACUGAUAGACUUGAGUGAAGGAGAGGAAAGUGGAAUUCCUAGUGUAGCGGUGAAAUGCGUAGAUAUUAGGAGGAAUACCGGUGGCGAAGGCGACUUUCUGGACUUUUACUGACGCUCAGGUACGAAAGCGUGGGGAGCAAACAGG